AACUCUAGCAAUGGGCAAAUGAGAUAUCUUGUUGGUGGUGCUUUUGUUAUAUCAGUCAGGUACAGAGCAGAUAGCAGUCCUUUGUUCAUCCUCGCUUGAUGCCUGGCUUGGUGGCCAAAGCUGAAUUAUGCCUAGGACACAUAA